rnacentral:tRNA from 2 species
GGAGGGCUAGUCCUAACUGGUAAGGCAGCGGACUUGAAAUCCGCCGGGAGCAAUCCCUUGGGGGUUCGAAUCCCUCGCCCUCCG